rnacentral:rRNA from 1 species
AGCGAACGCUGGCGGCAGGCCUAACACAUGCAAGUCGAGCGCCCGUAGCAAUACGGGAGCGGCAGACGGGAGAGUAACACGUGGGAACGUACCCUUCAGUUCGGAACAACCAAGGGAAACUUUGGCUAAUACCGAAUACGUCCGUAAGGAGAAAGAUUUAUCGCUGAAGGAUCGGCCCGCGUCUGAUUAGCUAGUUGGUGAGGUAAUGGCUCACCAAGGCGACGAUCAGUAGCNGGUCUGAGAGGAUGAUCAGCCUCAUUGGGACUGAGACACGGCCCAAACUCCUACGGGAGGCAGCAGUGGGAAUAUUGGACAAUGGGCGCAAGCCUGAUCCAGCCAUGCCGCGUGGAUGAUGAAGGCCUUAGGGUUGUAAAGUCCUUUCGACGGGGAAGAUAAUGACGGUACCCGUAGAAGAAGCCCCGGCUAACUUCGUGCCAGCAGCCG